CUUGGCAGUGGGUGGACAGGUAUGAGCCUGUCUGCCUUCAGAGUGAGGAAGUAAGCUUUCAUCUCAUCAAGAUGCCCUGUUUGGUGUGGGCUUUGGUAUUCUCUAGCUCCUUGGGUCUCCCUUGAACAGUGAUAAGGAAGAACUCAGCUUCUGGCCCACUUUGAAUAUAUAGUGGUCCUUUGUGAGUAUAUUUCCCACCCCAGGAGCUAGCAGUUCAGCUCAGGAGAUGAGAAAUAAAUGAAAGAAGAUGGACAAAGCCAACAUGAGGACAGUGAGACCGUAGAAUCAUGGUUCUCAAGGGCCUCCUCUCACAGAUCCUGACAGGAACCCUAUUUGGACAAUGUCUGUAAAUCCCUAGCUAACAGACUUUCCGGUGCUGUGAAAUCUCACCUCAUGGUGCCACAUCCUGCUCUCCAUUCUGUCCCCUGCCACCUGCCUUGGAAUAAGAGAACCUGGCUACAGGCUUUUGUUGAGAACAUCUUCCAUACUAAAAGAGGAUCUUGCUAUACCACUAUGCCUGCCCUGGUAUUCACUGUAGCUGGACUUGAGCUCACAGUAAUCUGCCGGCCUCAGCCUCCCAAGUGCUGAUGAAAGGUUUCACCAUCUGGAGUGGCUAAAAGAGAUAAGCAGAAGACUGAGGGAUGGAUGAACUGGCUUCUUAAUGAGUCCCUUCUUGCCCAGAGAUACACAUUCUGCGAUGAAGACAGCUGCGGUGUGAGCCUGGCUGAGUGCCCUAACAGAGCAUCUCAAGGCACUCCCCUGAACAAAGCUCUGUGUGAUGAUGGACA